GCACUAAAUCUUUCCCAGGCCUCCUGCUUGGUGCCGGUCUGGGGACAGACGGUGCUAUAGUAGAGCAGAGGAAAUCCAGACGGGUCGAUUCCAUCUGCCCCUGGGGCCUGUCUCUACAACUCUGCUACACUC